CGAUAUUACAAUAGUUUCUAUAAAGCCUUUUCUUCGAAGCUAUGGCCAUUAAUGGCGCCCUCUUCCUCUUUCUGCCGAUCGUUCAUUCCGUUAUUUUACUGUUUGACUCGACUUUAGAGCCUUUUCAAGGUUGUACUUGAAGACAUUCAUCGUGAUAAAUAGUCUCUUACGUGGCGCGAGCACAAUUAACGGAACCGUUUUCACGCGGCAGCGACUCUUCGUGGCGGUUAUUCAGAAAAAUCCGCUUUGUUGCACGGGAAAAUACCAGACGCGAAUUUUUUCCCUUUCGGGAAAUCAAUUUCCUGCCGAAGAUGGAUAUUUUAUCAGCGACAAACUCGAGGACUUCGAAUCGUUAUUUACGAUGAAUGUGAUAAUUGAGCGUGAAGUAUAGAUACGUUACGUUAUUGCAAAACGAAAACGUGAGAGAAAAUUAAUCGAAUCCAUAGUUCGUUGCCAUCGAGCGCACAACAAAGCGUCGUACAUAUUAACUUUUGAAAUCGUCGAUCCACGUCGCAAAGCUAAUUCGUCGGUGAAAAUCGGUGGACACUGGCGAAACGACUUUGUGCUCGUUUAUUCGCGAUGCGUGUACAAAUUCGUAUUGCAUACACGUACCGUGUAUGCCACUCCUGCGUUUAAGCCACCAAUUUUACGACAUUGCAGAACCGUGAUUCAAAUCCUGGAAACAUUGCUCGAAUUAAACACCGACGCGUUCCAAAUAUCAACAUUAAUAAUAUACCAGUGUCUGCAUGCCGGUUUAACAGUAACUUUCAGAUCGAAAAACAUUUUCCUACCUCUUGGCUAAUCUACUUUGCGAAAGGAGAUUAGAUCGAUAAGGAUUGGGCAGCGAAUUAAUAUUUAGAACGCGGUAAAAUUUAAAUAACAUAAUCUACGUGUCAAGGUACAAGAAACACUUUAGAAUAAAAUAGAUAUUCCACGGAAUUUCAACAAUAAAUUGUUUAUCGCGAUAUUUUUACAAACUUCACGAAGCUAUGAAAUCUACGUGGCAGGAGAAAAACGUUUCGAAUCCUCUAAGUUCCUUCUUACAAGUAGAAAAAACCAAGGAUCGAUAAUAUUUAAGUGAAAAAAGAAAUUACAGAUGAAACGUUGCGUUAAGAGAACGUCGACCCUUGACGAAUCGAGAUAAACCAAUUCACAGAAAAGCUUCUCACUAAAUUUCUCUACUCUAACCAUUCCAUCCUAGUAACAGCGACCGAGCCAUUACCAUUAAUUGAAGAACAACAAUCGAACAGGCUCUCGACCAUCAUUAUCCUCUAGUAGAUCGCGUUUCUACGAUUCGUUCGGCAACAUGAAAGAGUGGGAUCCAUCCGCGGGCCUUCGCUCGCAUUUCACGACUCAUCGACGAAAGCCGUCCGAUCGAUCUUGGAUCUCGCGAUCCAGGUUCCGUGUUCGAUGUGGGACCCGUCGAAUGGGCCCCGCGUCAGCCAAGGCAGCUCGCGUCCAACGGUUAUCCAGGCACCGACGAGACGCGUCCGCGGUUUGAAAGGUGGGCGCCCCGGCAUCGGUUACGAGCCUGGGCGUUAAAAUGUAUCGAAAAGAGACAGCGUUACGUACGCGGCACGUAUUUAUGGGCAUGAACCCGGUCAGAACGGAGAAAGAGACAGAAGGAGGCGAUCGGUAUGGACGAGUCGGCGGAUCCGGGCUAGGUCGUUCAACCAACCGGUGAACCAUCGAACCAUCCGAGCGACCGGCAACGGUCGGUGCGGAGCACCUUGCUCUCUUAACAGUCCUAACCGAAGCUAGAAAGAGAGGAACUGGCCCCUCGCGCGGGGACGAGGAAAGCGGCCGGAACGGGCCGCGGAAUGGAGCGAGAGAGAGGAGCCGUAACGAUCGGCGGUCGCACAGGAUCCGCCAAUGGUGAGUGACUUUGUGUCUCCGUUGCAAGUGUGAACCGGGCAUAAGCGGGCAAUCUUACAGAGAAAUCGCGCGCGACUGUGCACGCCAAUGUUACGAUACGCCCGACUCUUCUCGCUCGUGAGCCCUGGCUCCCCAGGGUGGAGUCCAAAGGCUCGCCGGUGUAUUAAUAACGUCGCCCUGAUUUAUCGCGACGCGAGGAUUUCACUCGGUCAUGAGCUCGCGAAAGUGUUUUAAACGCCGGUAUCGUGGCUAACUGGUAAAUGGAUUAAUUGAAUUGAAAGAGGAAGUUGGAUUUAUGGAUGUAUAUCGGAGGCCAGUGGGUUUGAAGAUGAUGAAACGGUAGAAUUUUGGUAUCGCAAAGCAUCUGACUGAAAGAUGGUAGUGAUAUAUAGUAUGGUAGCAGGAUACACGUGCGAGGAUAUACCUAUUUUUCUUGCAAGAGUAGCGGCACGAGAGAAGGCGAAUUCGUGCUCCUUUGAAGAUGCUCUUAAACGUUUCACAGAUUCCAGCUCUGUCAAACAAGUCCCUCCUUCCUUGCUCGUAUGCGCCAACGUACGAAAGGUUCGUUUGUUUCCACUUGCUUCGCAGAAUCUCUUUAUACAGUCUAACGAUCCCGUACGUGAAACAGGGUUGUUACACAUACGAGAGAAGUCUAACUGGUACGUACAUCCCGAGGAAGGCUACGAGUCGGAGCAGCGAUAAAACCUUCUCGAAACGCUUCGGAUAAUUGUUACGAGAAGGUAGGAAUCGGAGGAGCGGCAUCCGUUAUUCGGCGUGCACCGGUGAAAUUUAAAAGAAAGAAAAAAGAAAAAAAAACGCGCAGAGAAAUAAAAACGAAGAUGCGUUGGAAUUAAAAGACCGUUGUUUAUCCGAGUCUUCCAUUGAGUUACUUCGCCAUUAAACAGAUUAAGGGGACACAAUCAAGGAGAAAGCACUUGUCGUCGAAAAAAACACCUAAAUCAAUGAUAUCUCGACGGCCUGGAAUCGUAAGGUACGCGGGUCUGGCAUCCCGCCCACAGUUCAGGCUCCGCACUGUUCACGUCCGUUCCUCCCAAACAUAGCAAAAUGGAGAAACGUGUUGUCUCGACGUCAAAUCGUAGCACGCGGCGAACACCGUGCCUCCCCCGGGCCGUCCAUUCCUCGAUCUCUGGAAUAAUAUUCCCAACGUUUUUUUACGGGCCACGUAUUCAAGACAAGAGGAAGGAAGAAAGGGACCACGGGCUGAACGAGGAGAAGAACAGUGGAAGACGGUGGAGGCGCUCCACCACGGAGAAUUGAAAAUGAUGAUUGGCGGUAAGCGGGCUGCCAGCAGUGAUGGAGGAGCAGUAGAGAGGUGGUCAGCUACGAGAAACGGACAGAGAAAGGGAUAAAGAGAAGGAGAUAGAAAGAGGCGAUGGGGUACUAAAUAAGAAAGCGACGAGGGGGAGGUGGAAGCCGGAGGAGGACAUCCAACCUAACCGGAGGGGAAGAGAGACCACUUGGAAGGAAAAAGAGUCAGGAGCGCGCGAAUUAAGUCGAUCGCAGUGCGUGGAACCACAUCCUUCGCGCCCGCUACCUUCGAGGAUAUCGCUUUUCUUUCGUCCUUUCCCUCCUCGCCCUGUUUCGGCCGCCUCCCUCUCUGUCCCACCUUUUAACGUUGUUCGAAGCGCGUACCUCUUCUUUAUUAUCGGCAUCAAGCAUCGUCUUUUGUUUUAUAAUAACCGGCGUUGCUGCGGUCGCGCCGCUCUCGUAGCUCCUUUUGCAAUGCCGGAGGAGCAGCUCUCCAACUACUGCAAAGAGAAGAGAGGAGAGACGCGGGACGGGCAACGAGAGAACGAACGAAAGGAGAGGGGUAUCGCGAUAAAUUGCCAAUGCCUCGUAACGCUGACUUCACGCGCUCUUGAACACGCACUUUGGGUAUUGUCACUGAAAAGCCGCGUCCCCGUCCACGGCACUAUUCUUGUGAUUAACCGCAAGGCGAAUUAUUUCUAUCGAAAUCGCUCCAACGGGAAAAGUCGGUCCAAAAGGGAACAAUGUUUCAAGACAAAGAUCGGUCGUGCGAAUCGUCGUAAGGAAUAUUUCGUAAAAAGAAACGGUGACGACAGCUGGCAUCAGUCGGCGAGCUUGCGAUAUUAGACGUAGCCGACGCAAACACGGAGUAAUCCCUCGAGCAGCGGGGUGCAUCCGGAAGUAUUUAAACUCGAGUCGCUGACAUUGCGCUCGAAGCUGUUCAUCUCGCACCCUCAUAUUAAAUAUUCUCCAUUGCAUCCCGGAGAGGCGAUGACCACAGAAAUAUAUAUGUACUCUCUCUCUUCUCCUUUUUCUCGUUUUCCAUCUUCGUUCUUUUUUUAUUCUUUUUGGACUGGAAGACGAGAUCGAGCGGACGGAUAAGGCUGUGACACGCAGCGACGCGCAGGGCGCCCUUAAUCCGGCAAUAAAAACCUCGGCUCACGUAUAUUAUUUUAUUUAGUUUCCCAAACUGCCACGACUUAAACGCAUCCAUAAUUACCGGCGACUACGUGAACCGCUUAACUUAUCGCGCGUUUCGACCGACUCUCUCGACCCUCUGUGCACCGCUGUACGAUCGUCCACGGUCGUGUGUGCGUGCACGCCAACAUGUAUCCUCCGUCGUACGUACGAACGUAAUUUAUGCGUGCGUGGAUUUUAACUCCCACGCCAUGAAGGCAUACCACGAGAUUGUUCGUGCCCACGAUUGCGCGUAUACCUGUCCGACCCGUAAGAAUUAUCCGUGUCCAUUUGCGACUGGCUCCCGAUACGCCCAGCCCGAAUUCGGCUCAAUGGAGUCGUUAUCUAUCGGGAACAAGGUGUUGAGAAUUCGGACGGUCGCGAUAUUUCCCUCGUAAUUUCCUAGAAUCGGAUAUUAGGGUUUUUAUACGACCAGCUCUUCUCUAGCGUCCGUCUCGAUCGCUCGAUGGACCAUGUUAAUAAAUAUAUAUUAUUCUUAAAAGCAUGCGAUACGUCGAAAGAAAACUGUUGGAAUCGAAGAUUAGAUAUGCGUAAAAUCUUGGUGCAGCAAGUUGAGUUUAAGUUACGUUUUAUUAGAAAGAUUUAUACGCUUUGUUCGUGGACACUGAUCGUAAAAUUGAAGAGGCAAAAAAUCGUUUACGUUCUCCAGCUUCCAUAAUGGCAAACUGUCCAGAAACAUUAACAUCAAAUAUCAAGCGAACUGACAGUAAGCAUUUCAUACUUCAUACGUGUAAUCAAAGUUUAGUUACGAUGUAACAGAUUAUCCAUGCAAACGCAUAACCCGUGAAACGAUUUAAAUGAUAAAAUUCGCAAGGCAAGGAACACCGUAAAAUUAAAAUUUUCUAUCUAGAAAUAUAUAUUUCUCGAUAUAGGACUAAACUUCUUUAACGUGACUUUCAACUAAUAUUCUUCAUUGUGAUAUUACAAUGUAUUUUCAAUUUUCUCACGGACCGUAAGAUUGUAAGAACAAAUUCUCAGGGUCUGUUCAGUAGAAUUCUUCCAACUUGUCUCAAUUUCUAACCGCGUCUCGCGCUGCGAAAGCACUCUGAGAGCUCGCGUUAAAUUAACCGCCGGUCAUAAAUAAUAUACGUAUAUAUCGAUAUGUAUGUAAAUUAGUCGCAAUUUUACGUUCGUGUUCGUUGUCUUUUCGAGGUUCGUUCCUCGCCGACUCGAAAGCGAGUUAGUCCCCCUUCGGAUAGCAUUACUUUCCCUUACUUAGUACCAAGAGAAAUAAAACGCAUCCCUUAUACUUAACUACCGUAUAAUGGUUUGCAGUCGCCUAGGUAGCAGUCGCGAAUCAUUGUAUCCAAAGCAGAAGCAGCAGCAGCAGCCAGUUCCUUUGGUCUCUGGUCGACGAAGGGAAACACGAGAGGGGAACGGUAUAACAAGUGAAGCGCGCGAUCAAGAAUAAUGUGAAAACGGACAGCGCGCGCGGACAAAACGACGAAAAAGAGGAGAACAAUGAACGAUGCUCGCGCUCGCUCCACGUAGACCCGGCAAUUUCGUCGAAUUGCAAGCGAUUACCGUCGCACGGCAGCUCGAAUUUUCCGUUUGUUUGAGUUACGGAGUUGUGCAAGGCCGCGAAAUGCUUCGAGGUUCGACGAAACAGACCCACGGCCAACAACACACCAGAAACAUCAGAAGACUCUCUCUCUCUCUCUCUCUCUCUCUCUCUCUCUGUCUCGUCUAGAGAAUAGCCAUAGUUGGAAAAGGGGAGCGAGUUGCACGACGAACAGUUUGAACAACGAGCGCAACGAAGAGGUACAACAAGAAGAAAUUAGAGGUCUCGAAGAAGAAACGAGAACGGACAAACGGGAAAGAGAUACGGGAAAAGAACCCACACGGUUUACCUGCGCGUAUUACCGGUCCGGUAAUAUGCUCAAUGGCCAGCGAUUAACACUCAAAUGAACUGCGGGAAACACCGGAGUCUCUUGCCCUUUCGAGAGAACCUAGUUUACUCUUUACCAGACUCUUUGUUCGAAACGUUUCUGAAUCUUCGUUUGCCUCUCUGUCUGUUUGUCUGUACGUACCACUGCUAGACAAUGGUACUGGCUAUUCCACGCCACGAUUUUUCCGGCUGCCGAAUAAAGAAGGAGCAGCCGAGGGAGAUAGAGGGGAGAUCGGAGAAAGAGAACUCGCGCGCGCGUCUCCAGCAGCAGACCCGCUAGAAAGAGGAUAAUUCCCUGUUUCCCGCGCGACCAAACGACGAACGAUGGAACAGACAGAGAAGCGAGGAGAAGGAACUGAGUGCAGAACGAUCCAGUGCAACGGAACCAGUAGAAAUCUCUCGCUACCUUUUCCAGACCUCCAGCGGCGCAGCGAUCGAAAACGAUCGAAUAGAGCAAGUUUCGUAUCGACCAGAAACACAACAGAUCGUGGAUGACCAACUUAGUCAGAUUCGCAGCGAUCCUCGAUUUAUUACAAAGCGAUCUACUACGAUGCGAAGUUAUUGUGGAAAACGUAUCCAUAUUAGAAAUCGAAUUAAAUGGCUUCUCUUGCCAAGAAGAAGUAAACGAUCGCGACGAUAUUCCUCGAGGAACCGUACGACGUUUCGCGGAACACAACGGCUCGUAAGCGGCCGUCGUGCAGGCGUUAAAGAUCUGAUGCCCACUAAUGACGAAGUCUUGUGUUCACGUGUUGACACUAACUGAUCACGAAAAGGAGGACGAAGAAGUGUCAAUGAUUGCUUCGCUGUGUCAUCCUGUCCGUUUGAUAAAUGGUGGGAAAUAUCGGAGAGAAUAGGGUACCGAGAAAUCAAGCGUCCGGUAGAAGAAUCUCCGGACGGAUCCGAACAAGGGUUGGUCGUGCAGGCGUUAAGGAUCCGAUGACGCUAAUGACGAGGCCAUGUGUCCGCAUAUUGACGCUAACUGGACUGACCGCGAAGAAGGAAAGCAAGAAGGAUACGAAAGAAGAAGCAGAAGAAGAGAAGAAAGAUAAAAGGGGAAGAGGUGGCGAUGGUUUGCAGUACCACGAGUAGAGUAGAAGACCGGUGUGCACGGAGGUAACGGAGGUAACAAACGUCUCCUCGAGGCCUCGAGUGUGGUAGAAAGGCGGAGGAGGGAGGGCCGCGGCAAAGGGUUCUUCCGAGGGUUAGUCCGCAGAGGUGAGAGGCAGAUCGUCUCGCGAGAAGGACCGCGCUCGAGGGAGAAGGAAGAUGAGAAAGCCCCAGGCUCGAGCCCAGCACCUCAUUACCCGAUAAUUUACUACGCGAGUAAUUAACUGGGCACACAAACGGUGCCACGUUAUAUACACCCUGCGCGCAUAUAUACGCCUCGACGACUCUUCCCUGGCUCUUUUCGAUUCUGCAGGCUCAUAUAUUACCGGUGCCGCGUCCUCUUCCCGAUCUAUUUAUCCCAUUCGUUUGUAAGUGAUGAACCUUCGACGUGCGAGUGCACGUAGGUAUUUUCAAAGACCAGUCUGACAAUAAUCGCUUGAACGAUAGAAAAUGAGACGACGGAGGCGGAACCGUGUGCGAAACAUCGCCGCGGAAUCGUACGUAGUUCGGUGCACCGUGUUUCUUUCGUUCGCACGGUUAUAAAUGCGACGCGAUAUUCCUCGUUCGCGCCCAACGUGUUGUAUGCUUACAAAGCACCGGCAAACGAGUGUAUAUAUCGGGGGAUAUCGUAUGUUACGAAAGAAAGUAUCAAUCGAAUCCUCGUUACGUGUGGUA